CCGCAAGGAUGAAACUUAAAGGAAUUGGCGGGGGAGCACCGCAACGGGAGGAGCGUGCGGUUUAAUUGGAUUCAACACCGGAAAACUCACCAAGGGCGACUGUUACAUGAAAGCCAGGCUAAUGACCUUGCUUGAUUUUCAGAGAGGUGGUGCAUGGCCGUCGUCAGUUCGUACCGUAAGGCGUUCUCUUAAGUGAGAUAACGAACGAGACCCUCACUAAUAAUUGCUACUUCGAUCUCCGGACCGGAGGCACAUUAUUGGGACCGCUGGCGCUAAGUCAGAGGAAGGAGAGGUCAACGGUAGGUCAGUAUGCCCCGAAUCUCUUGGGCUACACGCGCGCUACAAAGGGCGGGACAAUGGGCUCCGACGCCGAAAGGCGAAGGUAAUCUCGAAACCCGUCCGUAGUUCGGAUUGAGGGUUGUAACUCACCCUCAUGAAGCUGGAUUCCGUAGUAAUCGCGAAUCAACAACUCGCGGUGAAUAUGCCCCUGCUCCUUGCACACACCGCCCGUCAAACCAUCCGAGUUGGGUUUCAGUGAGGUCACCUCUAAUUAGGGUGUUCGAACUGAGAUUUAGCAAGGAAGGUUAAGUCGUAACAAGGUAUCA
rnacentral:rRNA from 1 species